GAUGAACGCUGGCGGCGUGCCUAAUACAUGCAAGUCGAGCGAACGGACGAGAAGCUUGCUUCUCUGAUGUUAGCGGCGGACGGGUGAGUAACACGUGGAUAACCUACCUAUAAGACUGGGAUAACUUCGGGAAACCGGAGCUAAUCCGGGAUAAAUUUUUGAACGCCAGGGUUCAAAAGUGAAGGAGGGUUUUGCUUUACCUUUAAGAUGAUUCCCGGCUGCAUUAGCUAGUUGGUAAGGUAACGGCUUCCCAAGGCAACGAUGAAUAGCCGACCUGAGAGGGUGAUCGGCCACACUGGAACUGAGACACGGUCCAGACUCCUACGGGAGGCAGCAGUAGGGAAUCUUCCGCAAUGGGCGAAAGCCUGACGGAGCAACGCCGCGUGAGUGAUGAAGGUCUUCGGAUCGUAAAACUCUGUUAUUAGGGAAGAACAUAUGUGUAAGUAACUGUGCACAUCUUGACGGUACCUAAUCAGAAAGCCACGGCUAACUACGUG
rnacentral:rRNA from 1 species